GAUGAACGCUGGCGGCGUGCCUAAUACAUGCAAGUCGAGCGAACAGACGAGGAGCUUUCUCCUCUGACGUUAGCGGCGGACGGGUGAGUAACACGUGGAUAACCUACCUAUAAGACUGGGAUAACUUCGGGAAACCAGAGCUAAUACCGGAUAAUAUAUUGAACCGCAUGGUUCAAUAGUGAAAGACGGUUUUGCUGUCACUUAUAGAUGGAUCCGCGCCGCAUUAGCUGGUUGGUAAGGUAACGCCUUACCAAGGCAACGAUGCUUAUCCGACCGGAGAGGUUAAUCGGCCAACUGGAACCGGGACAAGGGUCAGACCCCCAACGGGAGGCAGAAGUGGGAAAUCUGCCGCAAUGGGCGAAGGCCGGACGAGGCAAAGCGGGGGGGGUGAUGAGGCUUUCGGGUUCGUAAAACUUUGUGAUGAGAAAAGAAAAAAUGUGUAAGUAACCAUGCAGGUCUGGAGGGUCCCAAAUAAGAAAGCCACGCCUAACUCCGU
rnacentral:rRNA from 1 species